UGGGGAAUAUUGCACAAUGGAGGGAACUCUGAUGCAGCGACGCCGCGUGAACGAAGAAGGCUUUCGCGUCGUAAAGUUCUUUUAUAUGGGAAGAUAAUGACGGUACCAUAAGAAAAAGCCCCGGCUAACUACGUGCCAGCAGCCGCGGUAAUACGUAGGGGGCUAGCGUUGUCCGGAAUCACUGGGCGUAAAGGGUUCGCAGGCGGAAAUGCAAGUCAGGUGUAAAAGGCAGUAGCUUAACUACUGUAAGCAUUUGAAACUGCAUAUCUUGAGAAGAGUAGAGGUAAGUGGAAUUUUUAGUGUAGCGGUGAAAUGCGUAGAUAUUAAAAAGAAUACCGGUGGCGAAGGCGACUUACUGGGCUCAUUCUGACGCUGAGGAACGAAAGCGUGGGUAGCAAACAGG
rnacentral:rRNA from 2 species